UACGUAGGGGGCAAGCGUUGUCCGGAAUCAUUGGGCGUAAAGAGCGUGUAGGUGGCUCGGUAAGUCCGCUGUAAAAGUCCAGGGCUCAACCCUGGAAAGCCGGUGGAAACUGUCGAGCUAGAGUCCGGAAGAGGCGAGUGGAAUUCCUGGUGUAGCGGUGAAAUGCGCAGAUGUCAGGAGGAACACCAAUGGCGAAGGCAGCUCGCUGGGACGGUACUGACACUGAGACGCGAAAGCGUGGGGAGCAAACAGG
rnacentral:rRNA from 1 species